rnacentral:rRNA from 1 species
AUUGAACGCUGGCGGCAGGCUUAACACAUGCAAGUCGAGCGGUAGCACAGGGGAGCUUGCUCCCUGGGUGACGAGCGGCGGACGGGUGAGUAAUGUCUGGGAAACUGCCUGAUGGAGGGGGAUAACUACUGGAAACGGUAGCUAAUACCGCAUAACGUCGCAAGACCAAAGAGGGGGACCUUCGGGCCUCUUGCCAUCAGAUGUGCCCAGAUGGGAUUAGCUAGUAGGUGGGGUAAUGGCUCACCUAGGCGACGAUCCCUAGCUGGUCUGAGAGGAUGACCGGCCACACUGGAACUGGGACACGGUCCAGAAUCCUACGGGAGGCAGCAGUGGGGAAUAUUGAACAAGGGGCGCAAGCCUGAUGCAGCCAUGCCGCGUGGGUGAAGAAGGCCUUCGGGUUGUAAAGCACUUUCAGCGAGGAGGAAGGUGGUGAGCUUAAUACGUUCAUCAAUUGACGUUACUCGCAGAAGAAGCACCGGCUAACUCCGU